CGAAUACGAAAAUAAAAAUUUGUGCAAACGAACCUGGAUUGGGGGUGGGGAGAGGACUUUCGGAAAAUUCACAAGAUCAGAUCUUUCCCUCAUAACUUUCAGGAAAAUGGAUAUUUUCAAAAAUCGCAAAUUCAAAAUUUCAAAAGAGCUUGCUGUUAUAUUUGCGCUCAUAUUUUUUGUAACUUUCAAAAAAAAAAAAAAAGAAAAGAACACUGUCAUAUUAUUGCGGGAAAUUACUCUGAAAAAGAAAUCAUUGCAGAAAGGUGAGUAGAUUGAUUACAUGUUUCUUUCAUUAUGUUAUCACAGUUUUGUGAGAUUUGGCUGUUAUUUCUAGCAUGUGGAUAGCCUACUUGAAGGCCAAGACCGUAGAAUUGGAAGGGGAGGGUGUUGGAGUUUUUUUUUCAGUAUAUCAUUUUCCUGAAGGUUCUGAGGGAAAGAUUGAAUCUCGUGAAUUUUCCAAAAGUCCUCUCCCCGUCUCUAGGUUCAUUUGUGCAACUUAUUUUCUCAUAUUCGUUUUCUACACAGUUGUUAACACCUAGCGGGCUGGGUUUUUAUAUUUUCAUUAAGGGGUGAGAAUCUUUAUAUUGACCAUUAAAUCUAUUCAAGUACAUGUCUUAUACAUAUAUAGUUGGAUAGGUUGUAUUCCACCUAAUGUGACUAUUCAGAAGGCUGUAAUAUCAUUUGACAAGAACACAGUAUAAAGAAAUACAUGGAACAAGGUGGUAACUUUAAGUGUCAUUAAUGCCGGCCACACGUAUAUAUAUAUAAGCUGAAUGAUAAAUGGAAAUGGUUGAUGGACAUUUAUUCAUAUAUCUACAUGCAUCUGUGUGGGUUGUAUGUUUGCUGUUAACUCUGGUGAGGAAGCUCACGAACAGCGAUAUGUUAGAACCUGUGCAGUGUUGUCGGUGCUGUGUAAAGAUGUUGUUGACGACGUUGGUGAGAGACAUGAUGGUGGCGACGAAGAUGGAGGUUGCUGUAAUGUAGUCAGUGGUUAGACCUUAGAAGGUCUGAAACCAACAGACCCCCAAGACUAGGAGGGGGUGCGUUUUUAUAGGUAACAGUAGGCUCAAAUGGAGUUUAGAACAGACUGUCUCACAUGAUUUAUUUGGAGGCUGCGAUUGGUUUGUUUGCAUAUUGGAGUAAGAGACAAAUUGCGCCAAUACCAAACAAUCAGUGUGAUAGACACAACGGGGUCCAAAAUAGCGUCCAAAGGUUAGCUGUUACCUGUUACAUUCAUAUGUAUGUAUAUAUAUUCAUAUGUAUAUAUAUAUAUAUAUAUAUAUAUAUAUAUAUAUAUAUAUAUAUAAUAGAGAGAGGAAGUUCACUAGAGUUCACUACACAUAUUUUAUCAACUCCAAUGGAUCUAGACCUUGCAGAUCUUGUUAUUUUCUUUCACAUAAUGGCAUUAAAUAUUGAAUAUCCAUUAAAUAUUGACCAUUUUAAUUCCUCAUGUAUAAAUGGUAUAUGAUUUUAAGUGACAUUGCAAAAUCAUUUAGAUCUCGAAAGAAUGUAAUUUUCUGUUCUGAAAAAACGUUUCUUGUUCUUUUCUUCACAUUUGCAACAGUUCUCUGACUGUGACAACUAAAUGACUGAGAUAUAUUACAAAUGACAGAGCAUUUUUGUUCGACUUCCUUAAAACAGCAACUCAAUCUUCCUAAUAACACACUAUAACUUUUGCGGAUAAUGUUGUUCUUAAUAUAGUGGUGUGAUGGUAACGGCUGGGAUGCUUCUUAAGAUAAUUCUUUUCAACCUUGGCUGAAACAACAACAGUUGUAACCCAUGAACUACUUUAUAUGGUCAGUCGUUCUGCUAGAAAUAGCUGCCAAAUAUUCCUUAAAUCAUAUCCAACUGUCUUAACAGAUACUGGAUAAUGUCAUAGAUACUAUGUCAGAUGGGAUAGUCAAGAUUUGAACACCUUUCACUACUGUUUUAUUCAUAAUGGCUGCACCAAACUGAUAGAUAAGUGAGCACACUGCUACACCUUUGGUACCCAGGUGAUCAUACUGAUACCUAGGCGACCAUACUACUACACUGGUGAUCACAAAGUUACCUUGGUGACCAUACUGGUACUUAGGUAACCAAACUAGUACAUUGGUGAGAGCACUGAUAUCUCAUUGAUGACAAUGAGACCUUAGUGACCAUACAGGUACGUAAGUAACUGCACUAUGACCUAGGUAACCAUGCUGGUAUCUUGGUGGCCACACUAGCACCUAGAUGUUCACACUGGCACUGUGGUGAUCACACUUGUAUUGAGGUGAUCAUCCUGGUACCUUGAUCACCACACUGGUACAUUGGUGAACAUAUUGGUACCCCAGAGAUUGCACUGUAUCUAGGUGACCAAACUAGUACCUUGAUAAACACUCUGGUACAUUGAUAACUACAUUGGUCUUUUCAGAAAUUUUCCCCAAAUAUUUUUAUUGAAUAUGUAGUGUGAUGGAUGAAGAGGACAACAGAUAAAGAAGCAACGGGAGCAAGAAAUACAAAAGGCCUUACCUCGGCGAAAUCAGCGGUCUCUCACGAAUUCGACACGUCCUGUCGCUUUGCCGUCUAUGCUGGAACUGCCAUGCUUCCUCGCUGACCACAUGUGCUUCGUCCUUAACCACAUCUGCUUCCUGCCAUGCAUGCGCCCCUCAGUCUUCCGCGGGCCCCUGCCAGCCCUACUUCCGCCCACCUCAUCUGUCAUCUUCUCCACCAACACCACAUGGCUCAUCACGUCCCAUAACACCGACCACAAACACCACAUGGCCCCCCUGAUCUACAGAUCACUCAACCGGCUUUCCCACUCACUCCUUGCUCCCGAACUCACACCUUAACUGGUUUCAUAAUCAGCCAACUAGGGAGGAGGAUGACAUUCCCUCUGUGGUCACAGUGUGACCCUAAGACUGGCCUUGGUUCCUGGCAUGUUGCUGCUGGCUUCAUCAUCUUGUCUACUGAUGUUGUCUUCAUCUUCUUGCCUACUGUUGUUGUCUUCAUCUUCUUGCCCAAUGCUGCUGGUUCCAUCCUCUGAGGCAUGGACAAUCUUCCGUAUAUCCAAAAUGUGGCGUGGCAUACCAUAGACAGAGAUGUUAUUCUUCGAAUUUAUAGAGGUUAUUGUUCCCCUUCCCCAUCGUGAUGUACACCGUGCGUUUUGGGGUUUUACGCAAACUUCUUCUCUCACCUGCAUGGUGUGCUCUUCCUCUGCCCCGGGUCACAUUGAUGCAGUACACGGAUGCCUCGACUCGUACCUGUGUGGCACUGACUCCUCAGCCUGUCCUGAUCUGGGCAACAUAUUGUACCAAAAUAUGGCCUGGAUUGGUCAAAUGUGGCCCCUCUCUGCCAUGGUCUUGAUGGUACAAUGAUGCCUUUCCACCACCCCAUUUCCAUUGGCCGGUAUGCUGCCCUGAAGAAGCGGUUGACCUUCCACCCAUCAAGCAUUUCUUUCAGCACCUCCGAGCGAAAUGCAGUGACAUUAUCCAGAAGCAGUUCAUCCAUGGGCCUCGUUCCAGGAAUAUCUCAUUCAAUACUUUCACAAUUUCCUCUGCGGACCCCGACUUCAUCUCCCUCCAUAUGGCCAACCGGCCCCGUCCGCAGUCAACCAUUGAGAGGUAUGUCCCCUGCCGGUAGUGUGUUAUGUCCACCGCCAGUCGUUUCCAGUCGUGGUCCACUGGAAUACUUCCCACCUCAUGUACGCCUGGAGCAGGGUCGAUGGACUGGCACCUGUCACAGCUGCUAACCACUCUCUGCACGCUCCAUCUUGUUACAUCAGAGUCAACUUUUCUGGCUAGGAACAAUGUCCCGUCCACCCCCAUGUGAUGCAUGGUAUGCAAUCUCCGCAACUCUGAGUCACUCAGAUGGCAUACUGCACCUACAGCCUGCUUCGCAUCCUCUGGCACCUGCAACCAGGCUCGCUUUACCCUGGUCAGGACGUCCACCCUGUCCUUCUCGGAAGGCACAAAGAUCCCACUCAGCUUCAGAUUGAACUCAGUGGUUAGUUCACACAGUAUCCCCAAUUGACGCUUUACCAGCAUCUCUGCAGCCCCUUUGGUCCGCACCCUCCACUCAUUGGUGAUGACUGCUGUCACCCAAUCAAGUAUAGUGGCUGAAUCAGUCCUGAUUUCUAUGGUGCGCAGCCCCCACUUCAAGGCUAGGUUCACUCCCUUCAAUACGGCAUCCAAUUCCGCCACAUUGAUAUGAUUGCAGUCAUCCAUCUUCCUGAGCCAGGCUGCAUCUUUCACCAUGAUACCUCCCACUUCUAAGACAACCUCUAUUGCGAUGCUACUGGCGUCACACCAUACAACCUCGCUCUUUGAUUUGGAAACAUACCAACUGCCCCUCACUGGGUCCUCUGCUCUUACUCUGACCAAGACUUCCUGUAUCAUGUCGGUCGUCUUCUCCCCCACUCUAUCGCUCCACUUCACUCCUUCAGCUCGUCUCUUGAUGAAGCUACAUGUUGUCCGGAGCCAUCCAAGUACAGUGGUAUAAAACUUGCUAGGUCGCUUAUAUCAUGGAGCUUUGCCACCAACUUCACCUUCUUCAACUAAGCGACUACAUCUGUGUCACCGCAAAAUGGUUUGAUCAUCUCAUUCGAAAUACAGGCACUCAUCGUUCUUUUUUUUUUUUUAUGAGCCGAAAUAGCUUGUAGUGUGAUGGAUGAAGAGGACAACAGAAAAAGAAGCAAUGGGAGAAAGAAAUACAAAAGGCCUUACCUCGGCGAAAUCAGCGGUCUCUCACGAAUUCGACACGUCCUGUCGCUUUGCCGUAUAUGCUGGAACUGCCACGCUUCCUCGCUGACCAUAUGUGCUUCGUCCUUAACCACAUCCGCUUCCUGCCACGCAUGCGCCCCUCAGUCUUCCGCCAGCCCCUGCCAGCCCUACUUCCGCCCACCUCAUCUGUCAUCCUCUCCACCAACACCACAUAGCUCAUCACGUCCCAUAACUCCGACCGCCAACACCACAGAAUACAUACAAACCCUAUUUGAUUUCAGAAUCAACGUCUCUACUUGGUGAUUCUAGUCUCAACUUAAUUCUGUUUCUUCACUCCAGGAAUAAAGUAGUUUCAUAACUACAUCCCCUGUUUCUCUAUAUAGUUAAUUACCUAUUGGAGAUAGUAAAACCUCCCUCAAACCACAUAUUACCAUCUUAAAUAUUUCAUUCUUGGUUAAGAGUAACAGAAAGAGCGGUGCUCAUGUCAUUUGCAGGGCUUACUUAAACAAGUGAAAUUGGGUCUGUUAAUGUGUAACUUGUUGUAAACUGAUGACGACAGGGAAAAGAAUAAAGAAAGGUAUUUCAACAAUGAUCCCAUUAUACAAAAAGAUAGUGUGUGUGUGUGUGUGUGUGUGUGUGUGUGUGUGUAUAGAUAAAUAGAUAUAACAUAUAAUCCAUGAUAUGUAAUCCAUCAUCAUCAGGUAAAAUUUUAAACAGGUGAGAUUUCUUACAUGAACCUGAACAAAUUCAGUAUCAGUUGGAUCAGUGGCUCAUUCAGAUUUAACAUUCAAUUAUAUAGAAGAAUUCUCCUAUAUGUGGUCUGCAACAUAAAGUGCAUGAAGGGGGACUGUAAGAACCAGAAUACAACGUACAUUGGGAAGACUUCUAGGAGUUUAGCAGAGAGAUUAAAUGUACAUUGGUGGGAGUAUGAUGACAGGUAACAGUUGUCUAUACUCUAUCAGCAUGCCAGAGAUCAACAUAGUGACAUGCUGAGCCAAAUCAGCAUCAAUCUGAGUCACUCAGAUGGCAUACUGCUGCCACAGCCUGCUUCGCAUUCUCUGGCACCUGCAACCUGGCUUCUGGUCAGGACGUCUGCCCUGUUCUUCUUAGAAGGCACAAAGAUCCCACUCAGCUUCAGAUCGAACUCAGUGGUUAGUUCACACAGUAUCCCGAAUCAACGCUUUAUCAACAUCUCUGCAGCCCCUUUGGUUUGCACCCUCCGCUCAUUGGUGAUGAUUAUUGUCACCCAACCAAGUACAGUGGCCGAAUCAGUCCUAAUUUCUAUGGUGUGCAGCCCCCACUUCAAGGCUAGGUUCACUCACUUCAACAUAGCAUCCAAUUCCGCCACAUUGAAAUGGUUGCAGUCAUCUGUCUUCCUGAGCCAGGCUGCAUCUGUCACCAUGACGCCUCCCACUUCCAAGACAACCUCUAUUGCAAUGCUACUGGCAUCACGCCAUACAAUCCCGCUCUUUGAUUUGGGAACAUACCAACUGCCCCUCACUGGAUCCUCUGCUCUCACUCUGACCAAGACUUCCUGUAUCAUGUUGAUUGUCUUCUCCCCCACUCUAUCGUUCCACUUUGCUCAUUCGGCUCAUCUCUUGAUGAAGCUACAUGCUGUCCAGAGCCAUCCUGCAAUAGGGUAGUGUCCCAUCAGCUUCCCACACACUGAGAACAGUUCCUCUCUACUCAUGCUGAUGCCCAGUUUGGGGAUCUCAUUCCCUCGCCAGAACACCAACGUGCUGGCUUUGUCUCUCCAUAGCUUGAGGCCUAGUGCAGCGCCUCCCUCCAUCGCCUUUGGUGGCUUGGCGAUCAGUCCAAAACUCUUCAGGUGGCCUAUGACCUCAGUUGCUGGCAUUACGGUUUCAUCCACCAGAAUGACAUCAAUGUACGAAUUGGUGGCUCUUUUUACUCAGUCCACCUUUCCCAGGAUGGCCUUGAGAAUUGUUGCCAUAAUCUUUGGCGCUGAAUUUAGCUGGAACCCCAGCCUGGUCAGACAGUAUGUCCGGCCCUUAUACCUGACAAGCUCAUGCUUCCAGAGUCUCUCAGCCACAUGCACUGACUUCAAAUCGAUGAUCGUGGAGGCCCCUGUUAUCUGCCUCCACUCUCGCUAGGUGUCCCUGCAGACAUCUGUGGCCUCGCCACCUGUAUGACAUGAUACAUGGUCAUUCAGCUCUCAGAAGUCAAGCAUUGGCCUGACCUUGUGCUUUGUGAGCUGUACCACCGCCAUCAGCGGCAGGACCCUGCUGUCUACUUCUUCUUCCGAAGGGAUCAAUAUGCUCUCCUUAAUCCACUGCUCCCCCUCCCCUCGAACUCACUUCUGGCAUCUCCUUUCAAAGUAUGCUGAUAGCAGCCCACUUUAUUUUUUAAUAUCGGGGGCUCUCCCUUCCAGUGCCACUCCACUGUCCACCUCUGGCUAUCGAAGACAGUACGAAAGUCCUGGUCUUCAAUGGUGUGUGCAGCAUACUUUUCUUCGUGGUUCUCACCAAUGCACAGUCUUGCCAAACACGGUUUGCCCGCAAACCCGAACAUUGCACCGGCCUUGGUGACAGUGACACCUCCUAAACGGGUGAUUGCAUCCAUCCCUAUCACCACAUCAAUCUCGUCCACCAAGUGGCCAACUGCAAUUGCUCGCAGCGUCAGCUUUGUUCCCUGCACCACAAUCUGCGCAUCUGUAAUGCCUUCACAGUGUUCCUCUCUUCCGUCGACUGCCCUUACAUUGCUUUCUCCACUUCACGUCUCUACUAUUUCUGGAAUUAUCAGGGUCGUCGUACAGCCCGUGUCAAUAAGGGCUCGCAGGUAACGAUAAACAUGCCUUCAUAUUGAUAUGAAGAGAUAACUACUGUGUAGUAGUGUCCCUAGACCGUUUCCCUGUAGACAUUCGCUGGUUAUAUGUCCUGUUUCUCGACACUGGUCAGUAAAUGACCUCAAGCUUGGGUGACUUGCAGUCUCGUACCAUGUGCGGGACCUGACACCGGAAACACUGUCCUUUGAAUGGUCGCACACGUUCCUUGUUUGACCCCUCUCUGCUACUCCUUGCUUGAUCAAUUUUUGUUUUUGCAGUCACUGCUACCAGCGUCAUCCUGCAACACGAAACUAGCACGCGAGCCUGACCGACAUGUGGUCAGGAAAACCAGUCACAAACGCUAACUUAACCGUUCAGUUCAGUAAUUCGCCUUCAUAUCCCGCCAGUUUAGCCAAUCUUCUGAGUUAGUUCGCAAAUACGUCGACUUGUUCGCCGGUCCACUUUGCUUUCCCCAGGCGAGCGUACACUUCGAACAUUUCUUCUGCAAAGGCCUCCCUCAAACGGAUUUCUAUUUUUUCCACGCUAAGUUGGUCCCUUUCUUCCAUUUCUAGGUAUAGCGCCAACACUGAACCAUCUAGGUACAGUGGUAUAAAACUCACUAAGUCAUUUAUACCGUGGAGUUUCGCAACCAACUUCAUCUUCUUCAUCCAAGUGACUACAUCCGUAUCACCGGAAAACGGUUUGACCAUAUUGUUUGAAAUACGGACUACACUCAUCAUCGUUUUUUUUUUUGUUGUUUUUUUUAAUGGGCCAAAAAGCUUGUAGUGUGAUGGUGGAAAAAGACAACAGAAAAAGAAGCAAAAGGGAGAAAGAAAUACAGAGACCUUACCUGUUGACCUAGGCAGGAUGAGCGAUCACUGUCAAGAAAAAACACGUCCUUGCACGCAGCCGUCUCUCAUCAAACUGCCCUACAUGUUUUUUGCCCACGCAUGCCCCCGUAGCUCUUCCACCGGCCCCCGUAGCUCUUCCACCGGCCCCUGCAGUCUUCACUUCCGUUUACCUCAUCUGCAAUCCUCUCCUCCAACACCACAUAGCUCAUCACAGCCCAUAACACCACAAACACCACAGAUCCCUUCUCGUUGUUGCAGUCUCUGCUAGCUGUGUCAUCCUGCAACACAAGGCAAUGACUGUGGCUUGUGAUAUUACCUCUCCCAUCACCAUGGAGUGAAUAUUCAGCAGCUUUUGCAGUUUGACUGACAUGUGGUCAGGAAAUCCAGUCACAAAUGCUAAUUUGAAUGUUUGUUCCAGUGCCUCGUCCUUGUAUCCUGCAAGUUUGGGCAAUCUCCUGAUUUCGUUUGCAAACACAUCGACCUGUUCACCCAUCCACUUUGCUUUCCCCAGUUGACCGCCUCCAUCAGCCAGAUUCCUAUUUUUUCUGUGCUUAACUGGUCCUUCUCCUCCAUUUCCAGAUGUAGUGCCAAUGCCAAUCCAUCAAGGCACAAUGGUAUGAAACUCACUAGGUUAUCUAUGCCAUGGAGUUUAGCCACCAACUUAAUUUGUUUUCAACCAAGUGGUAACAUUUCCCUCACUACAAGAUGGCCUAACUAUCUUGCUCGGAAUUUUUUUUUUUUUUGAGCCAAAAUAACUUGUGAUGUGAAGGAGGAAAAGACAGAAGCAGAGGGAGAAUUACGGUGGUCUUACCUGUCUAUCAAGAAGGGGUCACUCACAAUGUCUAUGUGCUCUGUCUGCCACCGUACUGUCAAUGUGGAAGGGGUCACUCUCAGCAUCCACGUGCUCUGUCUGCCACUGUACUGUCUAACAGGUCUACUCUCAUAUGCUGUCUGCUGCCAACUGACUGCUCACGCUUUGCCGACCCUGCAAACCGUAUUGGUGGGACCUGCAGGCCCCACUUCCGAUAGGACAUGCAUACUCCCUCACUUCCAGUCCUUCUCUCUAAACACAGCCUGGGUCAUAACACCACAUUUACAAAUUUAAAUAUUCGGUACUAGAUAGUUUGGCAUUAUUGCGCUUGAACCCGUACAUGUCAUUAAUUUUCCUAAAAUUUUUUUAUUUAUUUACUAUUUUUGCAGUGUUCAGCUCUAUGAAAUUGUAGUCAGUCACACACACACGCAUGCACGCACGUACGCACACACACACACACACACACGUAUGUUUUUGUAUGUACGUUUGUAUAUAUUUAUGUAUGUGUGUGUGUGUGUGUGAGAGAGAAAGAGAGAGUGAUUGAAAGGGUGUUGUCAUGUAUACGUACAUACAUUAAUACAUAUGCAUACAUCUUUUAUGUAUGUAUCUGUGCAUGUGUGUGUGUGAGACAGAGAGAGUGAUGUCGAAGUGGUACUCUCUCUCUCAAACACACACGUCCAUUUCAUAUACACUACAUGCAUCUUUCACUUCUCUCUUUCACUUUAAAACAAAAGUAAAACAUUUUUAUGGAAAUUAAUGAACAAAACCAGCUGUUCAUUUUAGCACUUCUGAGGGUUCAACCAAAAGAAUGCUGAUAGAUUUUAACAAGCUUUUAUUUGUAUGAUUUUUUUCAUUUCAUAUUUAUUUCAUUCAUUGUUUGCAAUGUUCUCUCUCCCAUUCUCUUUCUCCAUCUCUCGCCUGCACACACACAUCUCUAUUAACAGUUGUUUAAAAAAUAACUUGUCAGCAUUCUCCUUCUUCAUAUACACGGAAAUCACAUUUGGUUAAAAUGGCUUAUUGAUGUGUUUUGUUUCUCUUUUUUCCCCUGACGAGAUGAUUGCAUUGUUUUACAUCAUUUUAUUCCCUCCGGAAUAAUAUAAAUGUUUUCUUCAAAAACGUAUGUCGGACUUCAAAAAUAAUAUGUUUUCUUCAAAAUGGAUGUAUAAAGAUUUGAAUAACACCUGCAUUUGACUCCAUUUUUUAAUUUAUCUGUGUUAUACAAAAAUAUUUCAUUUAACCCUGGAAUUUCUACCUUUAUAAGUAGGCUGUAAUAUUUUUGGCACUUAUGUGAAUUUUUGCUACCCUGGUAACUAUUUUUUUCCCAUGUUAUUUGUACACAUUGAAAAUAAAUACACACACACACACAUAAUAGAAAUAUUAUUUCUAAAUCUCUCAAAGAGAGAUAUACAGUAGCAUCACCAUAAAGGAAUGACCUUUUUCCAACAUAAUGUGGCAGUCCCAGGAUGGGACGAAUGCCACUGUUAUUUAGCCCCAGAAAACAUCGUUUCCAACUGGCUAUACGACACAAAAAAUUCUGUAUCCUUAUAUUUUCUAACAGGGAAGCUCAGCACUUCCACCCAGCACAACUUCGCAUCCAUGGACUGGUUUCUGGGUUAUUGCUCCUUAUCAGCAUGGAGUAACUUGGUUGGCUAGAUGUUGCUACUGAACUGCUGCUGAAAAUAUAUAGAUUUCAAAGUGACACACAGUCACUGAUCUGCAUAAUAGAAAUAUUAUUAUUUUUAAAUCUCUCUACAAGAGAGAUAUACAGUAACAGCACCAUAAAGUAAUGACUUUUUGCCAACAUAAUGUGGCAGUCCUAGGAUGGGAUGAAUGCUACUGUUAUUGAAGAUCAGUGACUGUGGUGAGAAAGGAUCUGCAUACGUUGGGCCUCACUGAGGAGAUGACAAGUGAUUGACACUUCUGGUGAUUUACUGUGCUUGAAAACACACAUCAAGUUAAGUAAAAUUGUGGCCAUCCAUGCAUGCUGGCUAGUUCUGUAUAGCCUGCACUAUGUAAAAAGCACUUGUGUCGGCACCACAUAAGAUGCACUCACCACAUAAAAAGCACUCAUACCACUGUCACAUACUGUGCACUCAUGCCAGCCCCACAUAAAAUGCACUCGUACCUACACCUAGUAAAAAGCACUGAUGCCAGCACCAUGUAAAGGUACUCAUGCCAAUACCACAUGAGAAACCUCCAAGCUGACACCACAUAAAAGAGCACUCAUGCCAGCACCAUGUUAAAAGCACUCAUGCCAGUGCCACAUACAAGUACUUGUGUCAGAUCGACAUAAAAAGCACCCAGUACACUCUGUAAAGUGAUUAGCAUUGGGGGGGGGGGUAAUCAGCCAUACCAAAAUAGACAAAUGGAGCCUGAACAGCUCUCCGACUGGUCAACCCCUUGUCAAACCAUGCCAGCAUGGAAAACAGACAUUAAAUGAUGUGUGUGUGUGUUUACGAUCAUCAUUACAACAUUUUAAUGUUCAUUGUCUAUACUGGCGUGUAUUAGGUGAUUUGAUAAGAUUUGAUGAGUUGGAGAAAUGUGUUCAGCAGCUUUUGCAUAGUCUCCAUAGCUGGAUGUCCUUCCUUACAUCAACCACUUUACAGAGUGCGUUGGGUGUUUCUUGUGACACUAGAACUAGUGAGGUUGCCAAGUAACUCACAAGUCAAAGAAAAAGACCUCCUCAACUGAGUAGAGAUGUAGUGGAGAGGGGGGGUAGAUGUUGAGAAGUUAAAUAUGAUUCAAGGAGUGGAACAGGUGUUUUGCUGUUGAGGAGAUACAUGGCUGUCCUGCAUUAUAUGGCUGCUUCUUUAGUGUUGGUGUCAUAAAAAUGCCCACUAUACAGUCUGCAAAGGCUGUGAGGUCUCUUUAAUUAUGUUGAGGACAUGACACAUCUCAAGUGUUGCUGCUAGGAAAUAAGUACCAAGUACAUUCUGUAAAGCGGUUGGUACUAGGAAGGACAUCCAGCUGUAACAACCAAGAUAAAAAUGAAACAUGCAAGCAUAAUUUGUGUAGCAUUCCAGAAUGUAUGCUGAUUCUGACUGUAGCAACCUGUCCAACCAUGUCAGCAUGAAAAGUAACAAUAUGACACUGAUGAUAACAACAAUGAUAAUGAUAACAAUAUAUGUACAUGAUAUGUGUGUGCGUGUGCGUGUGCAUGCAUGUAUGUUUACUCACAAAACAUGAAAGAAAAGACAGAAAAGGAGAAACGAGAGCAACAUAGUGAACAGUAAUCUCAUAUAGAGAUUCAAAAAGUGUGACCUCCUUCAUACUGAUAAGAAAUAUCUAAGUGGGGUGUGAAACAAAGGUCAUUAUUACUGGACAGUAGAGAAUUGGCAUUGAUUGAUAUGGGGGCAUUGAUUAGCUGUUAGAGACAAACAUAUAUAAAGACCUUUAUAGAGUCCUAUAUAAUGACCUACAUCCCUAUAUAUAUAUAUAUACAUAUAUAUAUAUAUAUAUACAUAUAUAUAUAUAUGUACAUACACCCAUACAUAUAUACAUACAUACAUAUAUCUAUAUCUACAUCUAUCAAUCUACAUACUUACAUACAUACAUAAAUACGUACAUUCAUAUAUACAUACCUACACACACACACACACACGCACUUACACACACACGUUUUUCUAAAGAACGAUAUAUAUAUAUUAUUAUAUAAUAAUAAAUGCCAAAACAAAUUUCUGUGUGUCAGUGUGUCACACUUUGACCCAGUCUCUCACUAUUCAAUGACACUUCUUCUACUCUUCUUUCUGGGGUGAUAGUAAAUAGUAUGAGCUGUAGUUGUGAUAAAGGUGGAGGUGAUGGUGAUGGUGAUGGUGGUGGUGGUAGCUGAGGCAGUCAAGCAUGACAGUGAUAGUAAGGGAUGUGAAAGGCAAUAGUGAUGGUGUUGGAGAGGAAGGCAGCGAAGUCAAAGGUGUUGAUGGUGGUUGGCAUCAAAAGUCUGAAUGGUGUAUGUAUGGCAGUUGUGGUGGUAAUGUUGGUUGUACUGGUGAUAGUGAUGGUUGAAAACAAUCAACAGAAAGAGAGAGAGAGAGAGAAAGUAAGAGGUUAGACAGAAAAAAAAUUGUACUGACCCCCCCCCCGAUGAAUUUCAUGUUCUUUUUUGCUGCACAUUGCUAGUGGAGUGGCCAUGCUUACACUGUAAAUCCAGAAAGAAAACGGGCAUGAUCAGGCUCAAACUUUGAUCACGUGACCACAAUAGUACCAACUAUAAGCAAGCAUGCGCAGAAGGCACUGUGACAAUAAUGAAGAUAUAUUAUGGCGAAAGUGCGGAUAAUUUUUGACUUCCACUCGUAUGUAUAUGCAUAUGCAAGUAUAUUUCUUUGUGAGUGUGUCAGUGUAUGUGAAUGUAUGUAAGUGAAUGUAUAUAUGUGAAUGCAUGAGCAUUUCAGUGUGUGUUUGUGUUAGUAUGUGUGUGAGUCUGUCUGUCUUUGUUCCAGUGUAACAGCCUGUUACUCCCAGAAAUAGUUUUCUAUAGGAAACAAAUGGAUAAUCAAUAUAGUUAUGUCAACUGUCAGGUGGGGCAAGGAAAGAGAAAGAGUGAGAGAGAGAGAGAGAGAUUGACAUUGUUGAAAAGUUUAUUCACCUUACCCUGUUAAGCUCCAGCUACUUUUCCAGAGAAUAAUCUCUCUCUUUCUCUUUCUCAGUAUCUCUCCCUUUCUGUUUUUUCCAGUCUCUCUUUUCUCUCUGUCUCUGUCUUUUUUUGUAUCCUCCCUCGCCCUCUCUUUUCUACUUUUCUCUUCUGUGGUGUUGUUUAGCUCCAGACCAAUCCUAAUUGAGCAGAUAUAUGAUCUAAGGUAUUCCAACCAAGAGCACCCCAUCUUUGCAAGGAUAUGUAGGACUACAUUAGCUAAUGUCCCCUAAUGUUAUGGUAUGAUUUUGAUGGGUGUUUGGCUGCUAUUUCUUGCUAAUCAGGCAAUAGAAUUUUCCAAAAGUUUCUUACUCUUGGGGCACCCUUGAAAUACUUAACCCAAGAAACAAUAGCUAUUAUAGAUAUUUAUAAAUCUCUUUAUUAACAGUUUUCGAAUACUUAAUUUGAGUCAUGAAGAAGGUUGAAGAAAUUUCAUUUUAACCAACAUCUUAUUUAGAACAGAUUUCCCUUCAAUUCUCCAUUAAGAAGUUAUUUUUCUCUAUAGAGGCUCCUUACUGUCUACAACUCUGGAGAUGUGAAUACUAUACUCCAGAGUAUCCUGGACUCAAUAUGGGCAGCAUGUGCAGCAUCAGUGCCACGUAAACAGAAAAAGAAGAACUACCCCAAAAGGGCAAUUUGGGAAACUUCAGCGGUCCGACUUGCCAGGAAGGAACGUCGGACUGCUGAAUGGGAAUACAAGUUGCAUAAAUCAGACACCAACAGGAAGAAGUGGAAUAAAUCUUCCAACCAUCUCAAGCAAGUGACAAAAAAAGCAGUGCUUGAAUUUGAACAGUGCAUAGCAGCCAAUCCUGACAGCAAGGUUUUCUGGAAAUAUGUGCAUUCAAAGCAGAGAUCUCACUCUCCAGUGGGCCCUCUUCGCAACCCUCACACAAACCAGAUCACUGACGACCCCAAUGAAUGCGCAGAACUCACUGCCGAGUGCUAUGCAAACAUAUUCACUGUUGAAAGUCAAAAUGUACCAUCUUCACCAUCACUAACAGCAAAUUCCAUAACAACUAUGGAAUUUACACCUGCAAUGCUGCGACGUCACCUUCAAAAUAAGCGCAACUAUGCCUCCCCUGGUCUCGAUGGAGUUACAUACCUGCUUCUCAAACGUGGUUGGUACUUCCUUUUACACCAGCUUUCUAUUUUAUUCCAGUACUGUCUCAACAAUGGUGCUACUCCGGAGCAGUGGAAAACUGCCAGUGUCAUUCCUCUGUUCAAAAAGGGCGACCGCACAUCACCUGUCAACUAUCGCCCAGUCAGUCUCACUAGCUGUAUUGCAAAACUGAUGGAAUCGUGUGUCAGAGAAACACUCUGGAACUUCUGGAGCUCUCACAGUCUCAUCCGACCCUCACAAUAUGGAUUUGUCCCUAACUCCAGCUGCAGUGAUCAGCUUGUCGAGUUCCUUGAGGACAUUACUCAGAUCACUGACAGUGGCUCAUGGGUGGAUGUUGUCUACCUUGACUUUGCUACACAAAAGGCUUAUGGUGAAACUCUCUGCAAUGGGUGUGAGGGAUGACCUUUUUAACUGGUUGAAAUCCUUCAUUCUCAGCCGAAAGGAGGUAGUCACAGUUCUAGGACAGCAUUCUACACCAUAUGAGAUGUCAUCGGGUGUACCACAGGGAUCUGUCCUUGGUCCCCUCUUGUUUGUGGCAUACAUUAAUGACAUAGAUGCCAAUUUAAAGAAUGCCACAGUAUUGAAAUAUGCAGACGACAUCAAGCUGUACCUUGAAAUCAAGAGGACAGAUCCUGAUGUCUACAGCUCUUUCCUGCAAUCAGACCUAGACACAAUGUAGCAAUGGAUCACAGACUGGCAACUGAAACUGGCUGUGGACAAGUGUACCACCAUGCAUUUUGGGAGAAAAAACCCUGCGUCCACAUACUCCCUCCACAACACUGAUAUCAAGAAAUCCUCCUGCGAGCGUGACCUAGGCAUCACUGUCAGCAGUGAUUUGCGUUGGACAAAGCAUAUCUCUAAAAUUGUCAAGAAGGCCGAGGGUGUCUUGGCAUCACUCAGCAAGACUUUUGUUAGCCGCUCUCCAGCCAUCUAUUUAAAACUGUAUGCAGCUAUGGUACGACCACACUUGGAAUUCGCAACAUCAGUUUGGAAUCCCUAUCUUGCUCAGAACAUUGACCUCCUGGAAUCUGUCCAGAGAUGUGCAACCAAACGCAUACCCUCCAUCAGACACCUACCAUAUUCUGAGUGCCUUGUUUCCCUGGGCAUGGAUUCACUGAAGCUCCGGCGUCUGGCGACGGACUUUGUAAACACCCACAAAGUUAUCAACCACCUCACCAACAACAACACUGAACACUUUUUUGAUCUCCAUGUGUCUAACACACGUGGACAUGCCUACAAAGUCAGAAAACAACACAGCUCCCAUGACUUUCGGAAACAUUUUUUCACGCUCAGAGUUGCUGAAGCAUGGAAUAAACUGCCUGCGUCAGUUGUUGACUGCCAUGACACUGCAUCCUUUAAGGCCCUCAUGCUUUCCAAAAUCCGCCGAAACUACACCUGAUUAUAUAUACACUUUAGAUGAGUUGUAGUGCACCUGAGCACUGUACACAAUUAAUAUUAUUAUUAUUAUUAUUAUUAUUAUUAUUAUUAUUAUUAUUAAAUGCCAGGGUUUCCCUUUCUUGGGGAAUAAAAUAUGUAAAAUAAAAUUAUGAAUAUAGAUUACUAACACACCUAUACUAGUAUGGAAAACAGAUGGUAAACAUUAAUGAUGAUGAUGAUGAUGAUGAUGAUGAUGAUGAUGAUGGUGAUGAUGGUGGUGGUGGUGGUGGUGAGGAGGAGGAGGAGGAGGGGAGGAAGAGGAGGAGGAGGAUGGCACAAAAUAUACUCACAUGAAAUUGUCAUUAUUUCUAGUUGGGAAAAACAGGUGCACAGCCAUCUUUGUCAGCUGGUUCAGUUUUAUUUAGGUGGUGAAUUCAUGAUGAAACAUGUUCAGAAAUCAGAGCGUGUGUGUGUGUGUGUAUGUGCGUGUGCGCGUGUGUGUGUGUGUAUGUGCGUGUGUGCAUGUGUGUGUGUGUGUGGGUGAGAUAAAUCUUUGUUACACACUCAAUGUCAAAAAUAUGUUAUCUGCAUAAUUCAUUCUGGACAUAUAUGGUAAAGUCUCAUAUCCCAAGUCUGUGAGCUUCUGUAGUAUCAUCCUAUAAAUGUGCAGUCAAGCGUUGUCAUUGGACCACAUUGAUUAACAAGGGCUGGUCUCAUUUUGCUCAAGUGAACAUGCAUUCUUUCUAGUUGCUUACAGUAAACUUCUGAUGUAAUGCUCUGGUUAGGCUCCAGAAAGCUGUAAUUGAUCACAUUAAUUUUAUUUUUGCCUCAAGUCUUUUCAAAACAUCAAGUUUAAUGUCCACUGUAAUCUCCUUUAUGGUUUCUUUUUACACUACUGCCUUCAAGUCUUCUUGAGGUUUUCUUUCCAGACAUCUUAAAUUGAAGGCAAAUCCAACAGUAACAACAAUUAAUUAUCCACAACAAAUAUGUAGUAAAUAAAAUUGGCCCAGGAAAGAGUUGCUUUGUGAGAGAAGAAAAUUGUAUUACACACACACGCAUGCGCACACAUACACAUGCACACACAUAUGCAUACACACACACACUCAUGCGCACACACACCCAUGCAAUUGUAGCCAAUUGAACCAAAAAGUUAGUUGGUUGAUAGUGGUGAUAAUGUGUGGUUGCUUUGAUUUAGAUGUUAUUGAUUAGAGGGUGGGUAUUGUUGGUGUUGUAGUGGUCAUAUUGUUGCCCCACUGUAUUAAUGUGGCUGUUUUAGUUUGAAGUCAAUCUUCAUAGACCUGAUAUCAAAGACGUUUCAUUCAACUUUUAAAAUACACUAGGAUACCACAAUAUAUGUCUCUAUUUGAAAUGGACUUUCUCAUCGUCUUCAUACUAUAUAUUAGUAUUGCUGUUGGUGGUCAUGUUUGUACUGACACACACACAUACAUAUGUACACAUUCAUAUAUACAUACCCAUACAUACAUAUGUAUGUAUAUAUGUGUGUAUUUACACACACACACACACACACAUAUAUGUGAUGGACUCUCCUGUCAAUGAUGAUGCAUGAGCAUUCAACUUUUGCUGAACGACUUGUACAAAUGAGUUGUUUAUAGUGAUCAAAUGUUUGUACCAUACAUUAGCUCACUCUCUCCAUCAAAACGAAGGUGUUGAAGUGAUUGCAAAGCAACAUGAGAUGAGGUGUUUUACUCAAGAACACAAUGCACCACCUGGUCUAGGAAUUGAAACCAUUAUCUUGCGACGGUGAGUCCAACACCCUAACCAUUAGGCCAUGCACCCUCACAUACAUACAUACAUACAUACAUACAUACAUACAUACAUACAUACAUACAUAUGUAUAUAUAAUGCAAAUAUUUGAAGUAUUAUUACUGUUAUGAACAGUAAUAAUGAGGUGGCUAGCAAGACUUCUACCUAUACAGGUAUAAUAUGCAAUAAUUAAAGAAAAGAAGGGUAAAAAUACUGCUUGCUAAAAAUCAAAGCAACAGCUUCAAAAAACCACCAAUCUUACGAUAAAUAUACAUAUGAGCAAUGCAAUGAACAUUUUAAAAAUAGGCCUACCUUCAGAAUGGAAUACGAAAAUAGAAACUACAUGUCCCAAUAUCAAUUGAUUUCAUGCUCUUCAUGAAAAAAAACAUGCUCUGCAAUCAUCAGUUGGAAAUAGUAUUUAACAUCUAUUUCUAAAAUAUUCACUAUGUCAACUCAUGUGCAUUUCUAACUAUAAACAUCCCAGUCAUUUUAAAAAGAAACUAUCGUAAACAAUAAAAAAUGCAAAUAUGUGAAGUAUUAUUACUGCUAUGAACAGUAAUAAUGAAGUGGCUAGCAAAACUUCUACCUAUGCUUGAAGUGAAUAUUUUAGAAAUAGAUGUUAAAUACUAUUUCCAACCAAUCGUAAGAUUGGUGGUUUUUUGAAGCUGUCGCUUUGAUUUUUAACAAGUGAUAUUUUUACCCCUCUUAAAUAUAUUAGGUUGUUACACAUGAAAUGUCGUAUUUUUAAUUUCUUGUUAUUUCUGUCAUUUAAAAACUCAAUUAUGUAUACCCUUGCAUUUAAUCUUGACUCUUUUUUUUUUCAGACAAUAUUGGUUUACAAAAUUCUUGCCCACAAACCUUAUGAAAAUGAUAACAACCAAACAAUGUUGAGUGAUUUUCUUGUAUGAGUACAAGCUGGGUCACUAUGCCACAGAAGCUCUAUGGAAUAUCAAGGGGGCCUUUGAUAAUGGUUUUGUUGACAUCAGAACUGUUCAGAGAUGGUUCCAAAGAUCUCAUUCUAGAGAUGAUAGUCUUGAAAAUGAACCAAGAGGGAGGCCAAAAUCAGUUAUUCAGCAUGAUGGGUUAAAUGCUUUGGUUGAACAAAAUCCGAGAACAAUGAUCCAAAACUUUCAUAAGAACUCCAAACACCUCACGCAACUGUUUCUCAACACCUGAAAAAAAUUAGAAAAGUCAAGAAAAUGGAUAGGUUUGUUCCACAUCAACUGAAUAAGAUUAAAAAAAAACAGGUGCCUCAAAGUAUGUUCCUUGUUGCUUUCUUGACUGGGAAAAGAAACAUUUUGCUUUGAAUCAUUACAUGUGAUGAGAAAUGGAUACUCUUUGACAACAGCAGGAGAAUAGGACAGUGAUUAGAUGUAGGAGAGUCAUCUAAACACUACCCCAAACCACCAUUGCACUCUAAAAAGUUAGUGGUCACUGUAUGGUGGUCUGUAAAGGAGGUUAUUCAUUAUUCAUUUUUGCAACAAGGAAAAACAGUAACAUCAACAUUGUAUUGCCAGGAAAUUGAUUGUAUGCAUGAGAAUUUGAAAAAGAAGCAACCCAGACUAGUGGAUAGGGAUGGUCCAAUUUUGCUCCAUGAUAAUGCAUGUCCUCAUACUUCUCAAGCUACGGCCCAAAAGUUGCAAAGCCUAAAUUAUGAGAUCUUGCAACAUCCUCCCUAUUUCCCUGAUAUCUUUCCUAUUGAUUAUCACUUAUUUAAGCAUUUUGAGCUUUUCAUAUGCAAUAAAACAUUCACUUGAUGCUGGGUGGAGGAUUAAAAAUUUAAGUUACAAUUUUUUUUGCUUGAUGGUAAUCAAUGGACCACCACAUCAUCAUUCCAAAAAAUGUGUUUAUGAGGAGAAAAAUAUUGAAAAUCAUCAGUACAUUUCAGAGUGACAAAGAAGUGAGUAGCAGGUGGUUGUGGGAUGUGCUAAAAAUAAUGGCUAAAUCUCCCUUAAAUCAUGCCCCUUUUCACUUGGAAAUUAUUUAAAAAUUAUGAACAGAAACAGAUUGCAGAUUUAUUUCUGUUUAUAAUUGCAGAUUUGGACUGUCUGUAUUUUAAAACUAUGAUUAAAAAAUACAUUUGGUAAAAAGCUGAAAUUUACGAUUUAUAGAGGGGUGGAGGUUAAUGAAGAAAAUU
rnacentral:lncRNA from 1 species